rnacentral:rRNA from 1 species
UACGGGGGGGGCAAGCGUUGUUCGGAAUUACUGGGCGUAAAGGGCUCGUAGGCGGCCAACUAAGUCAGACGUGAAAUCCCUCGGCUUAACCGGGGAACUGCGUCUGAUACUGGAUGGCUGGAGUUUGGGAGAGGGAUGCGGAAUUCCAGGUGUAGCGGUGAAAUGCGUAGAUAAUCUGGAGGAACACCGGUGGCGAAGGCGGCAUCCCUGGGACCAACACUGACGCUGAGGAGCGAAAGCCAGGGAGCAAACGGGG